AAAUGUUCUGUGUAGAUUUCAUGAUGUAGAUGACUGAUUUAUAAUAAGUUACAUAAUUUCAAGAAUAUAUACAUAAAUAGUUUGUGUUAAAAUGUCUUUAUUUGAAAUGUACAUGUGUAAAGUGUAAAAGCUAGUGUCUCGUGAGAAUACCCCUUAACGAGAGUACAUGAGACUUUUCAUGGACUGCGAGGGAGCAGAUGUCUCUCACGAAGCGAUUUUAAGCUAAAGGUUGACUAAAAGAAAAGGCAACACAAAGACUUAAGGACCUCUUUUCAGGACAAGCAGCCAACGAGUUCUCACGGCGUAAAGGCGUAAUGGCGUAUCGGCGUACUGGUGAUGGUGAAGCUGAGGAGAGAAAGCUCAAGUAAUAAACGCCCGUUUCAAA